AUGUCGAGCGAUGGCGAAUCAACUGUUGCUGCCAAGCUGUUCAUCGACAAGGAGAAGAAGAUGGUGCUUUUUGCAGAAUCUGACCAGGACUUCGUCGACGUCCUCUUCAGUUUCCUCACUCUGCCGCUCGGCACGAUCGUUCGUCGCCUCGGUAAGCAGUCUCAGGUCGGGUGCCUCGACCAGCUGUACAACAGCGUGGAGGAUCUCGGGGAAGAUCACUUCCAGACGAAGCCAUGCAAGACCAUGCUUCUUAGUCCCCGCAAUGCUGCAGCAGUUCACUUGGAUCGGCUUAAAGUCGAAGUUGACGGCAUAGAUCAAACACAUUUUUAUGCUUGCAAGCGUCACAUGGGAUAUUUCAGCUCAGUCCCUGACGUUGGUUGCCCGUUUUGCGGCACCAUGGAUAUAACGAUUAGGGAAUGUUCAGAGAAAGACACUCUGGAUGAGAUUUUUGUCCAGAGUCGCACGAAGUUCAUCAUCACGGAUGAUCUCCAAGUUGCUCCUUCUUCCACAGCUCUCAUGUUUUCCCUGAUGGACAAGCUUGGGCUCCAGGAGCAAGCGAAUAUCGAGGAAGUGGUGCUACAACUCAAUUCCAAUAAGCUUCCUGAGAAUUUCUUAGCAGAACAAGCAGAUGAGGCCGAGCCCAUGUUCAAACCAAUAAAGAUUAGGAUUAUUCAGUCAAAAGAUGGUACCUCGGUGUUGUAUGCUGAAGUUGGGCAUGACUUCGUUGAUAUAUUCUUCAGCCUGCUUUGCAUUCCAAUUGGAUCCAUAAUCAAAGCUUUUGGUGAAUGGUCACCAAGUGGCAGCAUUGAUAAUCUUUACAAGAGUGUGAAUAAGGAAGCAUGUGUAAAACAAGAAUGCCAGAGCUUGCUUCUAUCACCAAAGCUUCCCCCUUUCUUUGGCUGCAGCAGCAAUGUACUCCAAGUGGAAGAGCUGCCACCUAGAAGUGUGGCAUACUAUAAUCACGAGGUGAAUCCAAAAGAACCGGUUAGAGGAGGUACCUGUAGGGCAUAUAUCAAGAAAGGUUCCACAAACUUUAUGGUGACUGAUGAUCUUCAUAUCUCCAAUUUCUCCUUGGCCAAUAGUCUCAAAGCUAUACGCGCAGCCAAGAUUCCGAAGGAGAAGCUUGUGGAGAAAGAGCUCACUCUUGGCAAAACACAGGUUUUGAAGCUAUUGAGAGCUGCAAUGCUGACUCGUGGCGCACUCGCAGCGUGCUCUUGCCUAAGUAGCAGCAUCAGUUGA
rnacentral:rRNA from 1 species